GACGAACGCUGGCGGCGUGCUUAACACAUGCAAGUCGAACGGGUCUGCCCUGUUUUUUGCGGGGUGGGUCAGUGGCGAACGGGUGAGUAACACGUGAGUAACCUGCCCCUCACUUCUGGAUAACCGCUUGAAAGGGUGGCUAAUACGGGGUGUUCUGGCUGUGCCGCAUGGUGUGGCUGGGAAAGAUUCACUUUUGUGGUGUUUUGGUGGGUGAUGGGCUCGCGGCCUAUCAGCUUGUUGGUGGGGUGAUGGCCUGCCAAGGCUUUGACGGGUAGCCGGCCUGAGAGGGUGGGCGGUCACACUGGGACUGAGAUACGGCCCAGACUCCUGCGGGAGGCAGCAGUGGGGGGUAUUGCACAAUGGGCGGAAGCCUGAUGCAGCGACGUCGCGUGAGGGAUGGAGGCCUUCGGGUUGUGAACCUCUUUCGCCGGUGAAGAAGGUCCUGCUCUUUGUGGUGGGGUUGACGGUAGCCGGGUUAUGAAGCGCCGGCUAACUACGUG
rnacentral:rRNA from 1 species